GUAGGUGAACCUGCGGAAGGAUCAUUAACACAAAAAGUCUUUUUUGCUUUUGCAAAAAAAACCUUUAUCCACCCCAUUUGAACGAACGAUGAUUUAUUUCAUUUUCUCCCAAAACUAUUUUUUUUACCCCAUAUACCAAAACAUGCGAUAGACUGAUAUCAUUUUUAUGAUCAUUAUCUUUUGAUUUAAUGAUACUAAAACAACUCUUAGCAACGGAUAUCUUGGCUCUC
rnacentral:misc_RNA from 1 species